AACAAAACAAGCAUUAGGGAGAAAAUACUUAUUAUGAAGAAAAGUUCACGAGCCAAAUAAGGGGAAAGAGCUACUACAAGUCCUCACCAUUCAAGUCAUAUGCCUAACUACAUACACAGCUACAUAUUAAUAUCUACAUUCAGUGAAGCAGCUAAACAUAUGUUUAUCUUAGAAGCGUCUCUUACGCUACUCAUCGACACAGGCAGUAAUGAUUCAGCACAGGAGGCGUUCGUUAGUCCACGCUCUCACCGGGGCUACGCUGAGG